GGCAGCGCGGGCUUCGGCCUGGCGGCGAGUGGCGAACGGGUGAGUAAUACAUCGGAACGUGUCCUGGAGUGGGGGAUAGCCCGGCGAAAGCCGGAUUAAUACCGCAUACGCUCUGAGGAGGAAAGCGGGGGAUCUUUCGGGACCUCGCGCUCAAGGGGCGGCCGAUGGCAGAUUAGGUAGUUGGUGGGGUAAAGGCCUACCAAGCCGACGAUCUGUAGCUGGUCUGAGAGGACGACCAGCCACACUGGGACUGAGACACGGCCCAGACUCCUACGGGAGGCAGCAGUGGGGAAUUUUGGACAAUGGGCGCAAGCCUGAUCCAGCAAUGCCGCGUGUGUGAAGAAGGCCUUCGGGUUGUAAAGCACUUUUGUCCGGAAAGAAAACCUCUGCCCUAAUACGGCGGGGGGAUGACGGUACCGGAAGAAUAAGCACCGGCUAACUACGUGCCAGCAGCCGCGGUAAUACGUAGGGUGCGAGCGUUAAUCGGAAUUACUGGGCGUAAAGCGUGCGCAGGCGGUUCGCUAAGACAGAUGUGAAAUC
rnacentral:rRNA from 1 species